AGCAUACGCAUUCAACAGUUUAUUCCGGCUGAUGUGUUCAAAAGAGUGCGAUAGAAAUUUGGUAUCUGGCAUCACUGGGUUUUUUUGGCUUUGUGCAUGUUAAACCUGGUAUUUCUAUUAAUACACUG
rnacentral:snoRNA from 1 species